ACGCAACGGUGCGCUCGGUUCGGCGAUCCGACGAGUGUACGCGGAGAUAUUGAGGAUCGAAGCCGUUAAGGUACAGAUUGCCGCAGCUCACGGCGAAAGCUUCCAAAAAUCAUGAAAAUGGAAUUGUAGCAUCGUGGUGUCGGGGAAUAAACUCCAGAACAGACGGAUCGCGGAUAGGAGGUCAUUUGGCAGUCGCGCGUGAGUUGGGUCGAGCCGUGCGGCGUGCGCCGCAGGAGGCCGAUUGCGAGUGACGACGAGCAAUCGGAACGCUAUAAAAGGUGGGUGGUGUCCAUCCCAAAGCAAUCGGGCUCCCUUUUAUGUCUAAGUUUAUAUUGAUCAAAUUGCAUAUUGACAUCUUGCAUUAUAGGGUGAUAAAUGAUGGUUUGGUCCUAUACCUUGCAUGUUCUUUGGUAGAAUAAUGUAUUUGGCUUAGUACUUAUAUCUAGCAUGCUUGAGGUUUAUAUAUGUGAUGUGGAACCCUAUAAUGAGAUGAUAAGUGUGGAUGGGAAUUUAGUNGAUGAUCGUGGUAAGGGCGUAGCGCCCUAGCUAGCUAGUAGAGCUUUCCUAUUGUACUAGAGCACCCUCGUGUGCAUGGUUAUAGAUGACAUGAUGUAUUUUGGAUAGCUAGCAUUAUAUAUGUAAGGUAUCGGACUUCUAAAAUCAUGAAGUUACGGUGUACAUUUGGUUGGAAGACUAUUUGAAAGGUUCUGGUGAAGUUCGGUGAAGUUCGGGAGCAUUCGGGCGUUUCGGUGCGCGUAGGCGCUAAAACGGAACCCGGGAGGCUAAGUGGGCCGUGAGUUAAAUCCGGCAUUAGCGAGGAUGGAAAGAUGAUGAAAACAUGUUUGGAAACAUGUUUGGAGAGUCUCGGUUCGAUUUGAGACGAAUCGGAGGUCAAACGAGCAAAAACGGACGAAAACGGGCGAAAAUGCUGAAAAUUUGGCUGUCCUUGAGGCUGAGUUCUAGACCUUCGGGGACCGGUCUCUUAGCCAAGGACCGGUCUCUCAGGGACCGGUCUCUCACCGCAAGGACCGGUCCCCGAGCGCGAAAAUGGCCCCCGCGGGGGCAAUGUAAUAAAGUGAAAGUUGAGGGGUUUUUAUGCAUUUGUAGCAUUAUGAGAGUGUAUAGAAGUGGGUUUUAGCCCAUUUCUCUCUCUCCCUCAACCGUAUGAACCCAACACCCCUCCCUCUCUCCCUCUCUAACGUGAAGAAGAAGAAGAAGAAAGAGGAGAAGGAAAAGGAGAAGAAGAAAAGGGAGGAGAAGGAGAGAAGCAUCAUCAUCACCACCAUCAUCUUCUUCUUCCUCUCAACCUUGGAGCUAACACCUAGAGGUAAGCUUGAUGCUUAUUAAUGGUAGAUCUCUAGGGCUUGAGCCUUUUGCUCUAGAAUUGGAUUUAGAUGAAUCCUAGCAAGCUUAAUAGAUGUUUAUUGCAUGAAUUGGAGAUCAAUUUGGUGGAUUUUGCCGUAGUACAAAUCUAGGGCUCCAAAAUGGCGAUUUGAUUUACAGGAGGGUUUGAUCUCUUUUAACACUCUGUAAACCUAAUUGGUAGGUCUACGAACGCAACGGUGCGCUCGGUUCGGCGAUCCGACGAGUGUACGCGGAGAUAUUGAGGAUCGAAGCCGUUAAGGUACAGAUUGCCGCAGCUCGCGGCGAAAGCUUCCAAAAAUCAUGGAAAUGGAAUCGUAGCAUCGUGGUGUCGGGGAAUAAACUCCAGAACAGACGGAUCGCGGAUAGGAGGUCAUUUGGCAGUCGCGCGUGAGUUGGGUCGAGCCGUGCGGCGUGCGCCGCAGGAGGCCGAUUGCGAGUGACGACGAGCAAUCGGAACGCUAUAAAAGGUGGGUGGUGUCCAUCCCGAAGCAAUCGGGCUCCCUUUUAUGUCUAAGUUUAUAUUGAUCAAAUUGCAUAUUGACAUCUUGCAUUAUAGGGUGAUAAAUGAUGGUUUGGUCCUAUACCUUGCAUGUUCUUUGGUAGAAUAAUGUAUUUGGCUUAGUACUUAUAUCUAGCAUGCUUGAGGUUUAUAUAUGUGAUGUGGAACCCUAUAAUGAGAUGAUAAGUGUGGAUGGGAAUUUAGUAAUGUAUUGGCUAUUGCAUUGGAAACUUGUAAAGAACGAGUGGCAUCUAGUUGAUAGUAAACAAAAGAACGAGUGACAUAUGUGAGUCGUAGUGUAUAUGAAACCUAUGGACUAUAUGAUGAUUGUGACCCUAGAGGACAGGGUAUCCUCGAGCUUAGAGGAUUGGAUCAUGCUCACGGUCUGUUUUAAAUCUUGUGAUGGAAGCCCCACACAAGUAGUGCGCUCCGGAUGUUGGUCACGCAAGGGAUUGCCUAUUUGGCCCCGCCAGACGGUCUCGGGUCCGUAGUGUGAGUUAAUUCUCCCUACGUGUCGAGAUGGCUAGUGAGCUGUAGGCGAGCCUUCGGGUAAGCCAUGAGAUUAAUGAACAAGUAAAUGAGGUUAAUGAACGAGUGAAUAGCUUCACCUUUGGACAUGAUAACAGGUUAGUUGCUUACCUACUUCAUUGUACAUGCAUUCAUAUAUUAUGAUUGGGCAUAGUAGAGUAGCUUUACUUCUGUCAUUUACCGCUUUCCUUAUCUAUCUAUCUAUCGAUUAUCUACUUGUGCCCAACUUGGACCUAGUGGGGAGAUCGGCGGAGUCGGCGGCCGAACCCACUGGGAACUAAGGAAGUUAGUUCUCACCCCCAUUUUACUACAGGGCCGAGCGCGAGUUCACACGGCGAGGAUCGCGGAUACAUUGGCCCCUAUGAGAUCUUGGAGCGGAUUGGGACGGUGACUUAUCGACUCGCGUUGCCGCCGAAGCUUGCGGAUGUGCACAAUGUAUUCCACGUCUCCAAUCUUCGCAAGUACAUACCUGAUCCCGAGCACGCAAUGUUGUAUGAACCGCCAGAGCUUCAG
rnacentral:lncRNA from 1 species